CAUAGAUUAAAAUUAUUUUAAUUGGUUCAGCCGUUAACUAGAUUGUUUGUCUGGUAAUUUUUCACAAUUCUAACUUUGGAAAAAUGAUAUUACAUCUCUUCUUUAUACUACAAGGUUUGUCAUAUUUCCAGAUGACGUUUGGGUAUAUUGGUAGGUGUGCAUUCCCAUGUGGUUUGCAGGGGAAAUCAUUAGUUCCAGUUAUUGGAGGAAUUUUCCAGUCGGGGUCGGUAAUCGGGGAGUAUGGAAUUGAAGAUCCAUCGAUUCUGACAUUUACAUUUACCAAUCAAAGCAUAUCUAAACAGGAAAUAUGGGAAUGCUAUGCCAGAUCAGGCCCUUUUUUCGCUUAUAGGCGAAAGCUGAAUGAAACUUACGUUGAAUAUAGAUGUGAAAAACGCCCACUUGUUCCGAUUAAAAGUGAUGGAGUCAUACGUGUAGUUUUUGGAUCGCAAUGGGAGCAUUUUGCUGAACCACCAACUAUAUGCGAUGUUUGCAACGGAAAAUUAACAGUUAGUCCUGUGAUUAAAGGUAUGUC